UUAUUUUUUCUUGUAGUUCGAAGCUGAUUUUUAAAGUGAAAAUCGCUUAAACAGCUGCAAUUAAAAAAAAAACACAAAACCCUAAAACAUACUCCAAAGAAAACCUAAAACAACAAAAUUCAUCAUCUCCGCUAAAUCCCAUCUUGCAUAUCAGAAUCAAUUUGAAACCCAAGUGCUCUCAGUCAAAUCUCACCGGAAAACGCAUGCCGAGUUCGUCGUCGACCGCCACAAGAAGGUUUUAAGGAAUUAACGUCAUCAUGCUAGGUUCAUUACCUAUACUGCCUCUACCAGCUCCUCCUAUCGAUGGAAAUCUCGGUCCUCUCCCCGAUGCUCAACUCACUCAGGAGGAGGUAGAGGAGAGGAAUGAGAGAUCCAGCAUCCAGGAAGUAGCACCGACAUCAGUUGCCACACACACUAGAACUAUUGGAAUAAUUCACCCUCCUCCGGAUAUUAGAACCAUUGUUGAUAAAACCUCUCAGUUUGUCGCUAAAAACGGUAUUGAUUUCGAGAAGAGAAUUGUUGCUAAUAAUGCAGGGAAUGCUAAGUUUAAUUUUCUCAAUUCAUCGGAUCCUUAUCAUGCGUAUUAUCAGCAUAGACUGACUGAGUUUCGCGCCCAGAAUCAGUCUUCUACUCAACUACCUGGGGAUUUGGCUUUACCGGAAUCAGCUACACCUGCGCCGGCUACUGAUAGUAAUAGUAACGAUGUGGUAAUGACUGAGAAGCCUGAUGUAUCUGCCCAGUUUAGACCAGUAAGGAAAGUACUUGAUCCUCCUGAGGCUGAGCAGUAUACAGUUAGGCUUCCUGAAGGAAUUACAGGGGAAGAGCUUGAUAUAAUAAAGCUUACAGCACAAUUUGUGGCUCGAAAUGGGAAAUCUUUUUUGACAGGAUUGACAAGUAGGGAAAUUAAUAAUCCUCAAUUUCAUUUCAUGAAACCAACCCAUAGCAUGUUUACAUUUUUCACUUCCCUUGCCGAUGCGUAUUCAAAGGUUUUGAUGCCUCCGAAGGGUUUGACGGAGAAACUGAAGAAGAGUGUUCCGGAUAUGACUACUGUGCUUGAAAGGUGUGUCAAUAGGUUGGAAUGGGAGCGGUCACAAGAGCAAGCCAGGCAAAAGGCUGAAGAUGAGAUAGAGCAAGAAAGAAUACAAAUGGCCAUGAUUGAUUGGCAUGAUUUUGUGGUGGUUGAAUCAAUAGAUUUUGCUGAUGAUGAGGAUGAAGAAUUACCUCCUCCAAUGACCCUUGAGGAAGUUAUAAGGAGAAGCAAGAUUACGCCUAUGGAAGAAGAUAUUGUUGAGCCAGGAAAGGAAGUGGAAAUGGAAAUGGACGAAGAAGAGGCCCAGCUUGUUGAAGAGGGAAUGAGAGCUGCUAGCUUGGAAGACAAUGAUGAAGUGAAGAAGAAUGAAGUCAGGGUUACCGAGGAUCCUGAACCACCAAUGAGGAUUGUGAAGAACUGGAAGAGACCAGAAGACAGGCUUCCUGCAGAUAAAGAUUCAACCAAAUUUGUUGUUUCUCCUAUCACUGGUGAACUGAUUCCUAUUAGUGAAAUGUCAGAGCAUAUGCGAAUUUCUCUCAUUGAUCCCAAGUACAAAGAACAAAAAGAAAGAAUGUUUGCCAAAAUUCGGGAAACCACUUUGGCACAGGAUGAUGAAAUCUCAAGAAACAUUGUUGGACUUGCUCGGACCCGUCCUGAUAUUUUUGGUACUACUGAGGAAGAGGUUUCUAACGCCGUCAAAGCUGAAAUUGAGAAGAAAAAUGAUGAGCAACCUAAGCAGGUUAUUUGGGAUGGUCACAGUGGUAGUAUCGGCCGCACUGCAAACCAAGCAAUGUCACAGAAUAUUGGGAUUGAGGAUCAAAACGAUGCUUCUAAUAAUGAAUUUAAAAACCUCCCUGGUCCUGCUGCACCUCCUCCAAGACCCGGUAUGCCUUCAAUUCGUCCUCUUCCGCCACCACCUGGACUAGCUUUAAAUCUACCCCGUGGUCCUAUGAAUAACAUGCAGUUUUCUAAUCCUAACAACAGUGGCUUUCCAAUGCCUCCCCCAAGACCACCAGGCAUGCACAUGAUGCAAUCUCUCCGACCAGCUCCCCCUCCUCCAAUGCAAAUGUCCUCUGGACAGCAUUCCAUGAUGGGUGGUCAACCACACCCAAUGCAUCCAUCAAUCCCUAUGAAUAACCAAGGAAUUCCUAUUCCUCCACCACCUGGAUCUCAAUUCACUCCUAUUCCUGUUCCACGACCUUAUGUUCCUCUCUCUCAUCCUCCAUCAGGGAUGCCUAUGAUGCAUCCACCACCUCCGCCUCAAGGAUUACCACCACCUCCACCACCCGAGGAAGCUCCUCCCCCACUUCCAGAGGAACCAGAACCCAAGAGGCAGAAGCAUGAUGAUUCUGCUCUGAUCCCCGAGGAUAAAUUUCUGGCUCAACAUCCGGGACCUGCUCGUAUUAGUAUAUCGGUUCCUAAUGUUGAUGAAGGAAAUCUCAAAGGACAAGUUCUGGAAAUAACUGUGCAAUCUCUGUCUGAAACUGUUGGCGGCCUGAAAGAAAAAAUUGCUGGGGAGAUCCAACUCCCUGCUAACAAGCAGAAACUGAGUGGAAAGCCGGGCUUUCUCAAGGACAAUUUGUCUCUCGCACAUUACAAUCUUAGUGGAGGAGAAACACUCUCCCUUGCAUUGAGAGAGCGUGGUGGUAGAAAGAGAUGAGCAUAUUACGUGCAUCACUGUUCUAGAAGAUUUUUGCUCCUUGGCGCUUGUCUCUUGAGGGAUAUGAAAUAAUACAUGGACUUGUGGGAAGGCUCUGCAGCUUUGCCUGAUGUGUCUUUGAAUGGGACAAGGAAGGUAGAAUGGCCUGCAAUAUUUUCUCCAAUUAUUAUUAACUCUAAUCUUCUUAUUGAGAUCAUUUGCUUUAAUGUGUGAGUUUUGUUUUGAUGACUGUUUGUGCAUGCCAACUUAUUGUACAAUGGAGCAGGUUUUGUAUUUUAGGGAAAGCACCACCUGAUCACACCUUCGUUUUUCCGGGGGGAUAUCUCGUGAAUCUUACCGUUGUAAAUCCCCUUAUGUAGAUGAUUUACUUAGUAAAUCCUCUUCUGCUAUGUUGGUGUCUUGUUUGAAUUGAUGAAGAUGGAAAUGUGUCUGGUUUGAAAUAUAAUUUUUGCUUUGCUUGAUGAAAAACUUUCAUGCUUUGCACUUGAUUCAUUACAUGAAAGUUGAAUAUAACUUUCCUGAAUCAAAGUUUGAUUAUUAUAGUAACAUAUACACCACACAAACGUUUGAAAGCAUGUUCUUCUUUCCACUCUAACACAUUGUUCUUCUGUAAAACAAUGUGACUGACAAGAACUGAAUAUUCCACCCAUUCUGAGACUUAUCUUUUUAAAUGUCUUC